GAGUGGGCAGUGCUGGGACGCUGUGCAGACACCCGCUCCUGUGGCCCACUUCUCUCUCUCUGUCUCUCUUUCCUUCUCUCUCACUCUCUCUCGCACACAAUCCCCUCCUUUCCUGCUGUGACUUUCCUCCCCUCACUUUUCCACAACCAGCCACCUACAGCUCUGAGCAGCUCUGCAUCCUUAGCAGGUCACUGGGGAGCCUACCUGCGGCAGCGUGGUGUUAUGAACAGAGAACAGGUUUAGGAGUCGCAGUCUGGGUUCUACUUCCAGAUCCGUCCUUUACAAGCUGCCCCUUCAAGGGAGUUGAGGGUCCCAGGCUCCUCACUUGCCUCACCCUAGCCUCAACCCUGAACCGUGUACCACCCAGGCCAGAGAACGCCUGCCUCGCUCCAAGUCCUUUCAGAGGGAGUCUGUCCACGGAAGGCGCCCUGUGUUCCAGCGCAUGAACUUGCCCCAGUUGGACCAACGAAGGACCCUUGGCCAUGCAGCCAAUAUGCAGUCUGGCCAGCAGCUGAGGGUGGUCUGGUGUAGGCAGCUCUCCCAUG
rnacentral:lncRNA from 1 species